rnacentral:rRNA from 1 species
GUAGUACGAAAAUACGAUGCAGACUCAUUCCGAGGCUCUGCAAUCGGAAUGAGAACACUCUAAAUCAUUUAACGAGUAUCCAUUGGAGGAAAAGUCUGGUGCCAGCACCCGCGGUAAUUCCAGCUCCAAAAGCGUAUAUUAAAGUUGUUGCGGUUAAAAAGCUCGUAGUUGGAUCUGUGUUUCACGCUGUCGGUUCACCGUUUGGUCGGUGUUUAACUAACAUGUCGUGGUACGUCCUGCCGGUUGGUUAUGGUGCUUUGCAGCGAUGCGGGCGCCAUAUACCAGUUCCAAUCCUGUCGCGGUGCUCUUCACCGAGUGUCGAGGCGGGCCGGCACGUUUACCUUGAACAAAUUUGAGUGCUUAAAGCAGGCUAUAUACGCCAGAAAACUGUGUGCAUGGAAUAAUAUAAUAGGAUCUCGGUUCUAUUUUGUUGGUUUUCAGAGUCCGAGGUAAUGAUUAAUAGGGACAGGCGGGGGCAUUAGUAUUGCGACGUUAGAGGUGAAAUUCUUGGAUCGUCGCAAGACUAACCUAAGCGAAAGCAUUUGCCAAGGAUGCUUCCAUUAAUCAAGAACGAAAGUUAGAGGUUCGAAGGCGAUCAGAUACCGCCCUAGUUCUAACCAUAAACGAUGCCAGCCAGCGAUCUGCCACAGUUCUUUUAUUAUGACUUGGCAGGCAGCUUCCGGGAAACUAAAGCAUUUGGGUUCCGGGGGAAGUAUGGUUGCAAAGCUGNNNCUUAAAGGAAUUGACGGAAAGGCNCCACCNGGAGUGGAGCCUGCGGNUUANUUUGACUCAANACGGGAAAUCUCNCCAGGCCAGNAC